CCGAUCUUAGCUCAGUUGGAAGAGCGUGGGACUGUAAUUGGAUGACGUCAUCCCGAGGCCGUGCGUUCGAUCCGCACAGAUCGGA
rnacentral:tRNA from 1 species